rfam:Erinaceus europaeus unplaced genomic scaffold scaffold00556, whole genome shotgun sequence
GUAUGUGAGGGUGAUCUGGCUGCGACAUCUGUCACCCCAUUGAUUGCCAGGGUUGAUUCGGCUGAUCUGGCUGGCUAGGUGGGUGUCCCCUUCCUCCCUCAACACUCCAUGUGCGUCCCUCCCGAAGCUGUGUGCUCAGUCGAAGAGGACGGCCUUCCCCGAAUAGAGACGGACCGGUCUUCGGUCGAGGGUAUACGAGUAGCUGCACUCCCCUGCUAGAACCUCCAAACAAGCUCUCAAGGUCUCAUACCUUUGUUCCCUGGGGUACAGGAGGGGAAGAAAUCAGAAGGUCCCAGAAGAAAGUGGCCCUGUGAGUCCCCAGGCCAUCCCAU